rnacentral:misc_RNA from 1 species
AAGUCGUAACAAGGUUUCCGUAGGUGAGCCUGCGGAAGGAUCAUUACCAUGUUUCCGAGCUAUUGCCUUUGGCUGGCUCGAUUACACCCUUGUCUUGUCUACUCUGCUUUCCUCGGUCGAUUGGUAAAGGCCUGCCGAAGGAACAUUUUUAAACCAUGUACUUGCAAUCAAGCGUCAGAAAAUAUAAUUAUUAAAA